AUGUCAAUCCAAUAUUUAGCCAUGA
rnacentral:siRNA from 1 species